rnacentral:rRNA from 1 species
AGUGAACGCUGGCGGCGUGCCUAAUACAUGCAAGUCGAACGAGUGGCGGACGGGUGAGUAAUGUCUGUGAAACUCCCUGAUUUAGGGGGAUAACUACUGGAAACGGUAGCUAAUACCGCAUACCAUCGGAUGUGCCCAGAUGGGAUUAGCUAGUAGGUGGGGUAAAGGCUAACCUAGGCGACGAUCCCUAGCUGGUCUGAGAGGAUGACCAGCCACACUGGAACUGAGACACGGUCAAGACUCCUACGGGAGGCAGCAGUGGGGAAUAUUGCAAAAUGGGAGCAAGCCUGAUGCAGCCAUGCCGCGUGUAUGAAGAAGGCCAUCGGGUUGUAAAGUACUUUCAGCGGGGAGGCGUUACCCGCAGAAGAAGCAUCGGCUAACUCCGUGCCAGCAGCCGCGGGAAUAC